UAGGGAAUUUUGCGCAAUGGGGGAAACCCUGACGCAGCAACGCCGCGUGAUUGAUGAAGCCCUUCGGGGUGUAAAGAUCUGUCAGUAGGGACGAAUAAUGACUGUACCUACAGAGGAAGCACCGGCUAACUCCGUGCCAGCAGCCGCGGUAAUACGGGGGGUGCGAGCGUUGUCCGGAAUCAUUGGGCGUAAAGAGUUCGUAGGUGGUAUGUUAAGUCUGGUGUUAAAUUCCGAAGCUCAACUUCGGUACGGCACUGGAUACUGGCAAACUUGAAUGCGGUAGAGGUAAAGGGAAUUCCUGGUGUAGCGGUGAAAUGCGUAGAUAUCAGGAGGAACAUCGGUGGCGUAAGCGCUUUACUGGGCCGUAAUUGACACUGAGGAACGAAAGCCGGGGUAGCAAAUGGGA
rnacentral:rRNA from 1 species